rnacentral:snRNA from 1 species
AUAUUUACCUGGCAGGGGAAAUAUCAUGAUCACGAAGGUGGUUUUCCCAGGGCAAGGCUUAUUCAUUGCACUCCAGAUGUGCUGACCCCUGUGAUUUUCCCAAAUGUGGGAAACUCGACUGCAUAAUUGUGGUAGUGGGGGACUCCGUUCAUGCUUUCCACUG